rnacentral:lncRNA from 1 species
UCGGCAAUGUACUCAAUUCUUCAAGUAAUUAAUCUACUACUAAGCCCUCUGCCUUUUGUUAAAUGAAUGAAAACCUAGCCACGUAGUUGGGCACAACGGGCACAAUACAUGGGUGCACAAAAUGUAUCAAGUUUCAUGGAUUUGUUUGUUAGAGAACUUAUACUCUCUGCUUUUGUUCAUAUUAGCUAGGGACCCCAAGCGGAUAUAAU